CCCACAUUAUGGCAGGUUACCCACGUGUUACUCACCCGUCCGCCACUCGUUCAAAAUUAAAUCAAGAUGCAAGCACCUUUCAAUAAUCAGAACUCGUUCGACUUGCAUGUAUUAGGCACGCCGCCAGCGUUCAUCCUGAGCCAUGAUCAAACUCU
rnacentral:rRNA from 1 species